GCAGUGUUUAGCAUAAACUAAAUCAGAUAUGUUGCUAGAUAAUUUAGCUAACGUCGGUAGCCUCGAACCCCGGCCAUAUUAUAUCAUAUAAAUUAGUUAGCCUCAAACUUUGCCCGGUCAUACUGCUAGUUGCAGUGAACGGCACCGUCAUGUUUUAUUAAAAGCAAUGCUGAAAAAAACAUGUAAACUAUAACAGCCACGGAAACACAUUGGACUGUGUUAAUGCUAUCAAGAAGGGAACCAUGAAGAGAAGCUUGGAGUGGGCAAGGGAGAGGCUAAUAAAGCAGCAGAGGAGACCUGAUUCAUCAAGUAUCAAUUAAUUUAGACACUUCAAUCUGACACUCUUGUUAAUGUUUGACGUCAGGCAAAACAUCUUCAGCCACCGUAGGACGGAGAGCCGCUGGUUGGCAUUUGACUGCAGUGUCUGUCUGGGUGUACCAGGAAAGGACGUUAGUAGUUAUAUAUCAAAGAUAUCAAAGCUUCUUACCGUCUCCACUGCAGCUUAGUCGUUAUCGAUAAAAUAAACUGGAACAAUGGAUUGUACGACAUUAUGUACAACUCCAGUUUGCCUAUUGCCCCAACUAAUGUCAAUUAGACAUUUUUACAUACGUCAAGAGUGCAUUUUCUUUUAUAGCUUUGCGUUCAACACCAUCCUUACCCACAAACUGGUUAGCAGGCUCUGGGUGUAAAUCCUGUAAUAAAUUAGAUUUUUUACAUUAUAAGAAUGUGUAUCCCCAGAAUGGACCUGACACUACCAUGGUACACAUGAGUACAUGAAGGAGCUGUGAGACUUGACAAUAGUGAUAGGACAAGUUUCAGCAUAAGCAAAACAAAGUAGAUGGUGAUACUUGACCAUUCUCCCAUCUACUGUACAUUGACAUGGAGAUGAUCAGCAGCUGCAAGUUCCUGGGCACCCUGAUAUCCUUUUCUGCCCUCAGUUACUUCACUCAAAGUCCCACUUGUGCUUCUCCACUAACCUCAAACUUGCUGCACCACGACCUAUGUACCAACUACAGUGUCUUGUAUUGCCAUAACACAUGUAAAGGAAAUGUCCAUAUUUACUGUAAGAUUUACUUAUGGUAACAUUGCACAUAUUGUAGUCCCUUGACAUACAUGACUUAACUACUUUGCAUAAUGCUCAGUUUACCCACUAAAAUCAUAAAUGUAUUUAAAUAUUAAAGCUGCAUUAUGUAAUACUGUGUCCAAUUGAUUCUGAUUGGUUGUAAUGUUUUUGAAAACUUUCACUACAACAUUUUUUUGCUGAUGGACAAUCCUGUCGGAAACUUUCAUAAUAUCAAUUAUUUUGGGACACAUCAAUUAACAUUGGCUGCAGUAUUCUGAACUUACUAGGUGGUCAUGCAAUGACCGUUCUGGAUAAUUCCCCUUAAAUGAAUUCUUUAAAUCAAAUCAAAUUGUCUUUGUCACAUGCACCAAAUACAACAGGUGUAGUAGACCUUACAGUGAAAUGCUUACUUACAAGCCCUUAACCAACAAUGCAG
ensembl:lncRNA